rnacentral:lncRNA from 1 species
GCCAGCCUGGGGCUUCCUCACCGUCACCGUCUGGUGUGUGGGAGAAAGGAGGUCCUUGCCCUGUGAGCCACUUCUGCCCAGAAGGGACCAGCUCUCCCUUGCCUUGCCGUGCAGGGACCUACAACAACCUCUCCAGACAAGCUGCCUGCUUCCCCUGUGCUGCAGGCUUCUUCUGCCCCGAAAACACCACCAGCUACAGCACAAACCCCUGCCCAGCUGGCUUCUACUGCCCCAAAGGCACCAGGUUUGCCACUGAAUUUCCGUGUCCCAGGGGUUACUACAACCCCGACCCCAUGAGCCAGAGCUUGGACAGCUGCCUGCCCUGCCCACCUGGGCACUACUGCGGC